rnacentral:rRNA from 1 species
CAUAUCAAUAAGCGGAGGAAAAGAAACUAACAAGGAUUCCCCUAGUAACUGCGAGUGAAGCGGGAAAAGCUCAAAUUUAAAAUCUGGCAGCCUUUGGUUGUCCGAGUUGUAAUCUAGAGAAGUGUUAUCCGCGCUGGACCGUGUACAAGUCUCCUGGAAUGGAGCGUCGCAGAGGGUGAGAAUCCCGUCUUUGACACGGACUGCCAGGGCUUUGUGAUGCGCUCUCAAAGAGUCGAGUUGUUUGGGAAUGCAGCUCAAAAUGGGUGGUAAAUUCCAUCUAAAGCUAAAUAUUGGCGAGAGACCGAUAGCGAACAAGUACCGUGAGGGAAAGAUGAAAAGGACUUUGGAAAGAGAGUUAAACAGUACGUGAAAUUGCUGAAAGGGAAACGCUUGAAGUCAGUCGCGUUGUCCAGGGAUCAACCUUGCUUUUGCUUGGUGCACUUUCUGGUUGACGGGUCAGCAUCAAUUUUGACUAUUGGAAAAAGAUCAGGGAAAUGUGGCAUCUUUGGAUGUGUUAUAGCCCUUGGUUGCAUACAAUGGUUGGGAUUGAGGAACUCAGCACGCCGCAAGGCCGGGUUUUUAACCACGUUCGUGCUUAGGAUGCUGGCAUAAUGGCUUUAAUCGACCCGUCUUGAAACACGGACCAAGGAGUCUAACAUAUCUGCGAGUGUUUGGGUGGAAAACUCGAGCGCAUAAUGAAAGUGAAAGUUGAGAUCCCUGUCGUGGGGAGCAUCGACGCCCGGACCAGACCUUUUGUGACGGUUCCGCGGUAGAGCAUGUAUGUUGGGACCCGAAAGAUGGUGAACUAUGCCUGAAUAGGGUGAAGCCAGAGGAAACUCUGGUGGAGGCUCGUAGCGAUUCUGACGUGCAAAUCGAUCGUCAAAUUUGGGUAUAGGGGCGAAAGACUAAUCGAACCAUCUAGUAGCUGG